rnacentral:lncRNA from 1 species
AUGAUGGGGACAAUAUCGCAAGAACGUGCGACAAACAACUCGCGCAAGCCGCCCACCAAAGACAGGCAGAUUACGAAACCUCAAUGGAAUAACGGAGCGCUAACAAAGCAGAGUAAAAAAGUUUACAAGCCUGGGGUGUCGAAUGGUCCAUACAGAGAAAGCAAAAUUCCAGUGCCUGAGACUGGUUAUCAGCCUAAAAGGAGAAGCAAACCAGAUCGACCCCCACUGAGUGACACUCCAGGGUGAGCUCUCUCUCUCACCACCUGUUUAUUGCCACAUUAUUUAAAGGUGUCGUUAGCUAUACAGGUGGAAUUUGACAGUUUUCUUAAACUAAAUCUGUCAUGCAGUCCCUCCCCCUGCCCACAUGCUCCAGUGCUGCCUUAAACUGAAAUAUUGGGGUAUUGAGAUGCAUACUGAAUUUGAAUCACU